UACGGAGGGUGCAAGCGUUAUCCGGAUUCACUGGGUUUAAAGGGUGCUUAGGUGGGCAGGUAAGUCAGUGGUGAAAUCUUUGGGCUUAACCCGAAAACUGCCAUUGAUACUAUUUGUCUUGAAUAUUGUGGAGGUCAGCGGAAUAUGUCAUGUAGCGGUGAAAUGCUUAGAUAUGACAUAGAACACCAAUUGCGAAGGCAGCUGGCUACACAUAUAUUGACACUGAUGCACGAAAGCGUGGGGAUCAAACAGG
rnacentral:rRNA from 1 species